CGCGGCCUAUCAGCUUGUUGGUGGGGUAAUGGCCUACCAAGGCUUCGACGGGUAGCUGGUCUGAGAGGAUGUCCAGCCACACUGGGACUGAGACACGGCCCAGACUCCUACGGGAGGCAGCAGUAGGGAAUCUUGCGCAAUGGGCGAAAGCCUGACGUAGCGACGCCGCGUGCGGGAUGAAGGCCUUCGGGUUGUAAACCGCUUUCAGCAGGGACGAAAUUGACGGUACCUGCAGAAGAAGCCCCGACCAACUACGUGCCAGCAGCCGCGGUAAUACGUAGGGGGCAAGCGUUGUCCGGAUUUAUUGGGCGUAAAGAGCUCGUAGGCGGUUCGGUAAGUCGGAUGUGAAAUCUCCACGCUCAACGUGGAGGGGCCAUUCGAUACUGCCAUGACUUGAGUCCGGUAGGGGAGUGUGGAAUUUCCGGUGUAGCGGUGAAAUGCGCAGAGAUCGGAAGGAACACCCGUAGCGAAGGCGGCACUCUGGGCCGGUACUGACGCUGAGGAGCGAAAGCGUGGGGAGCGAACAGGAUUAGAUACCCUGGUAGUCCACGCCGUAAACGUUGGGCACUAGGUGUGGGACUCUAUCGACGGGUUCCGUGCCGUAGCUAACGCAUUAAGUGCCCCGCCUGGGGAGUACGG
rnacentral:rRNA from 1 species